rnacentral:rRNA from 1 species
UACGUAGGGGGCUAGCGUUGUCCGGAUUUAUUGGGCGUAAAGAGCGUGUAGGCGGCCAGGUAGGUCCGUUGUGAAAACUCGAGGCUCAACCUCGAGACGCCGAUGGAAACCCUCGAACUAGAGUCCGGAAGAGGAGAAUGGAAUUCCUGGUGUGGCGGUGAAAUGCGCAGAUAUCAGGAAGAACACCCGUGGCUAAGGCGGUUCUCUAGUACGGUACUGACGCUGAGGUGCGAAAGCGUGGGGAGCAAACAGG